CAGAAGAGGCCGCCGAACGGUCCCCGUCGCCCGCUUUGCGCUUCUCUCUCUCCCUCACACUCCCACAGAAAGAGACAGAAGGGGAGACCGGCCCGACUGCGCCUGCGCCGUCGCUGAGGUAAAGACGGGGGCAGGCCUAUCUGGAGAGCUCGGCUCGCUUCCCUCAGCACGGAGGGAUCUCGCGAGGCUUUGCUCCGCUCCCCCCUCCUCCCUUCCCCUACUGUACGGAACUUCCGGCCGGCGGCUUCCUCGACCGCAUCCUGGAUUUCAGAGGUCAUAGGGAACUGCCCCCGAUGCGACACUUCCGGUCCCCUGUUGAAACUGGCAGCUCCUCCAUGUGCGGGGCAGGAGACAGAGGGGCCACGCAGGGUGUCCGAAAAGCGCUCGAAGUUCUCCGGCUUUUUAGAGGGUCGCCUCCGUGGCAGCUCAAAUGAAGCGAAGAGAAGCAGUGAUUCGACAUGAGGAGAAGAUGCAGGGAUGGAAGGUUCCCCAGCUAUUGAUUUUCCAUUUUAUUUAAAGGCACAGGAGACAUAAUUUAAGAAUGGCUCUCUAUUUAUUCCCAGAAACCUUAAUACGAUACUUAUUUCCAAAUACCUUGAUACAAUUGAUGGAUAAAUGUUGUUUUAAUAAAUAUAUUGUCUGUAAAUGCAACAAAAUUUACAUUGCAUGUUUCCAGCUUAUUUAAAACUUGAUAAAGUGCUUAAUCUAUAACAGAAAUGUAUAAAGUUUUUGAUAACUUUUAUGUCUCCAAACAAAUCAUAUGGCUUUGUUCUUGCAUCUUGUUGUUACAAAUCACAUAAACAAGCUCCAUUAUCUUAUCUUCAA